CGUUGUUGCAGUUAAAAAGCUCGUAGUUGAAAUGAAGGGUGGUUGUGUAAUGAAUACAUUCGUGUAUUUUGUUAUUCUACUACCCUCCUUCUAAAUUCGAUAUAUGAGUAUUAAUUUACUUGUAUAUGGUUUUAGACCUUUACUGUGAGAAAAUUAGAGUGUUCAAAGCAGGCAUUUGCUUGAAUAUAUUAGCAUGGAAUAAUCAUGUAUGAUUUUCAUGAUGUAUUUGAUUGGUUUGGUUCAUGAGAAUAAGAUUAAAAGGGACAGUUGGGGGUAUUCAUAUUCAAUAGUCAGAGGUGAAAUUCUCGGAUUUAUGGAAGAUGAACAAGUGCGAAAGCAUUUACCAAGGAUGUUUUCAUUAAUCA
rnacentral:rRNA from 1 species